rnacentral:rRNA from 1 species
CUACGGGAGGCAGCAGUGAGAAAUAUUGCACAAUGGGGGGAACCCUGAUGCAGCAACGCCGCGUGGAGGAUGACGCAUUUCGGUGUGUAAACUCCUUUUAUAUGUCAAGAAAAUGACGGUAGCAUAUGAAUAAGCACCGGCUAACUCCGUGCCAGCAGCCGCGGUAAUACGGAGGGUGCAAGCGUUACUCGGAAUCACUGGGCGUAAAGGACGCGUAGGCGGGUUGGAAAGUCAGGUGUGAAAUCCUACAGCUUAACUGGAGAACUGCACUUGAAACUUCUAAUCUAGAGUAUGGGAGGGGGAGAUGGAAUUAGUGGUGUAGGGGUAAAAUCCGUAGAUAUCACUAGGAAUACCUAAAGCGAAGGCGAUCUCCUGGAACAUUACUGACGCUAAGGCGUGAAAGCGUGGGGAGCAAACAGGAUUAGAUACCCGGGUAGUC